CCUACGGGGGGCAGCAGUGAGGAAUAUUGGUCAAUGGACGAGAGUCUGAACCAGCCAAGUAGCGUGAAGGAUGACUGCCCUAUGGGUUGUAAACUUCUUUUAUAAAGGAAUAAAACGAGGCACGUGUGCCUUUUUGCAUGUACUUUAUGAAUAAGGAUCGGCUAACUCCGUGCCAGCAGCCGCGGUAAUACGGAGGAUCCGAGCGUUAUCCGGAUUUAUUGGGUUUAAAGGGAGCGUAGAUGGGUUGUUAAGUCAGUUGCGAAAGUUUGCGGCUCAACCGUAAAAUUGCAAUUGAUACUGGCAGUCUUGAGUACAGUUGAGGUAAGCGGAAUUCGUGGUGUAGCGGUGAAAUGCUUAGAUAUCACGAAGAACCCCGAUUGCGAAGGCAGCUUACUAAACUGUGACUGACAUUGAUGCUCGAAAGUGUGGGUAUCAAACAGGAUUAGAUACCCUGGUAGUC
rnacentral:rRNA from 1 species